CCUACGGGAGGCUGCAGUGAGGAAUAUUGGUCAAUGGACGAGAGUCUGAACCAGCCAAGUAGCGUGAAGGAUGACUGCCCUAUGGGUUGUAAACUUUUUUUAUAAAGGAAUAAAACGAGGCACGUGUGCCUUUUUGCAUGUAUUUCAUGAAUAAGGAUCGGCUAACCCCGUGCCAGCAGCCGCGGUAAUACGGAGGAGCCGAGCGUUAUCCGGAUUUAUUGGGUUUAAAGGGAGCGUAGAUGGGUUGUUAAGUCAGAUGUGAAAGUUUGCGGCUCAACCGUAAAAUUGCAAUUGAUACUGGCAGUCUUGAGUACAGGUGAGGUAGGCGGAAUUCGUGGUGUAGCGGUGAAAUGCUUAGAUAUCACGAAGAACCCCGGUUGCGAAGGCAGCUUACUAGACUGUGACUGACAUUGAUGCUCGAAAGUGUGGGUAGCAAACAGGAUUAGAUACCCUAGUAGUC
rnacentral:rRNA from 1 species